AAUCAAGAGAGGGGUGAUAGGUUAAGUCAUAAAAGUUCAUAGAAGUUGCUUUUUCGAGGCUGUAGGGCUAUCCGAAAAGCUUGACUGUAGUUGAAAUUCUUUCAUAAGGUCCAAUGUUUUCGUCAACUUUUUCAUAAUUAAAGAAAUAUGCUCUUUCUUUUCAGCUGCAGUUUUCUGCUGUACAUAAAAACUAGAGCGCCCAAAAACGUUACGACAAAGCUGUCUUUCAAAUUUCCGACCUUCUUCCAACAAUUCCUUCCAAUACUCUUUCUUCCAAGAUCUAUAGCUGGACUGUAAAUAGUAGAGGCCGAAAACGCCACAAACAGAAAAUACGCUAAAGGCGUUGUACAAAGAAAAAUGAGAGACAAAAUAUAAAUAAAGAGAUCCAAGAGCCCCCAGUCCCUGAAAAGCAGUUGUGUAUAGUGUCUUUCGACGUAAAGGUUGUAAGGCUUGAUCUACAGCACUCAUACGGGAGUUUUGAAAUGUCCCAAAAUCUUUCAUGGCGAGUUCAAAAUUAUUUUUAUCGUCACCGUUUUUCGACAACUCACCUAAAAUAAAUGACAAUUCGAGCUUUGAUUUUUGUAAGUACUCAUCCUUUAUUAAUUGUUUUAGACUUGCAGGUAACGACUCAAUGUUGGAAUAUAAUUUCAAUGUACCAAAAUUUUUCCAAAACUUUUGAAGUUUCUUUUCAAACUCUUGAAGAUCGACAUCACAGUACUUGGCCCAUUUUUCUAUCGAUAUCAGCAUAGAAUUGCUAAAUUCGGUUGCGCGAACGAGAUCUUUCUCGGCUUUUGUUAGAGAAAAGGAGCAGCAAAGAUAAUUUAGAAAACGUUUGCAUAUUUCUAAAUCACUUGUUGGCGUCAUGUUGGUGCGUAGUUGUUGAAAUCCACUUUGCUCCCAUUGAUUUUGGUAAUUUUGAAAGUUGUGGGGAUCAUCCUGCAGAGCUUUGGUGGCUUUUAAUGCAGCCGAUGAUGAGACGGGUAUUAUAGAUUUUUCAUUUUUUAAAAGAGAAUGCAACUUUGGGUCAAUAUCGAGCACCAACGUGUCUGCAGUAGUAAAGUCACUGGAGGUCAUUCUUAAAUAAGAAGUAGAACAUAUAUAUCGAGCAUGGCAACUAGCCAAAAUAUCAGAGUCCACUGUUCCCGGAGGAAGGUGAAUAAUUUCAAGAUUAUUGACUUGUAGGAAGUCGCUUGGAAGAAAUAAAUGUGACGUACUAUACCUAGCAUUUCGCUCAAACAAAGCAUUUGUGCCAAACGAGAUAUAAAGUGGGUUUAGUCCAUUGUGAUCCAUGGCAUAUUUCAAUUCUUUUGACUCAGGCAUAAAGGGAGCAGCGAGAAGAGCAUGUGUGAUUUGUUUGACACACGCGACAUCUUCGGCAGAAGAGCUUAACGCCUGUAGCGCAAUCCUCCUCCUAAUAUUCGAUUUGGAAAGCAAAAGGGAGACAUUUCCUACACGAAUUGUUGCAGGAGAAUUGUCAUCGACUAAUCUUCUCAAAGAAUAAAGCUCAUUGAGCAGCUUUUUUUGCAAAUUGGAGAUGAUCUGCACAUGUGGAGCGGUCGACGACCUGCGUAUCGCCAACACAGAGCGCUUCCAUGUUUUUAUUCCAAAUCUUAGCAUAAUUUCUCUGAGCCUAUGAAAAACUAAUCACAACAAAGGAUCGCAUAUGAACCACACUAGAUUCGAAAGCCAAAAAGGAACGAGAUUACCGGAUUUUAGAUAGUAUUAGUUAAAGUUCCAAAUACACAAUAAAA
rnacentral:lncRNA from 1 species